UGCAAAUACUUCAAGUGCGUAUUACAGAUUAAGGUCGAUUAAUAAAUUUAUGUCGUUUUAAAUGGAGUUGAUAUAUAUCCUAUUUCACAUGUUUUAUUGUAUCAAUAUAAUGGCAAAAUGACAGCCUUUACUAGAAAAGCUUCUUCUCAAUGUUUCUAUUAGAUUGUUUGCAAUAGAAACAAUAAGAAAAUCAAUUUCUUAUGUGGCUUGUACAAAUCGACAAGGUGGUGAAGCGAAUAGUAUAGCGAAAGAAGGAAAUAGAAAGAUGAAGAGGAAGAUAAAAUAAAAAGACUUAGUACAGAAAGAGCGGAGAAGAGUGAAAGGGGAAGGAUUGGAGCAAGGGUGAGACGUUAAUAAAUCAAGUCAAGUUUGACAGUGGCAAGUGAGUGUUCAUCACAGUAUUUUGUGGAAGAAAUUCUAGCAUUCCGAGUAUUCACACAAUCGUUUACUUCGUCCUCUGCUUCCAUCAAAUGACAUUUAAUAAAAUGUCUUUUUCUUGAUUUAAAUAAAGCUGUACUGUUUUCCUCUGGAUAUAUUCAAGGAAAUACUAACCAAAAUCACUCUCCAAUGUACCUAUUACGAUGAACUAUCUGUUGUAUACAUCAAAAGCGAUUACACGGCUUGCUUGAUUCCUAUAUUCAUAGAAAUCUCUGAUUUCUGAGCACGAAAUGCUUUGUUUAACACCCAUAUUACAUCCCUCGUGAACAUCCUGUUAAGAGGAACGAGAGACAUUGCUGAUGCUGUAGUAUAUAGAAACAAAUCCAAGCUGUACAUGGGUACAAAUGAUGUGUAUACAUAUUUUCUGAUCAUAUGAGUGUAUGUGUGUUUGUAGAAAAAUUUUUCUCUUUUAUAACUGGGAAAAGAGUCAUAAUGGUGGUUGAUAUGUAGCCUUACGCGGCAGGACAGUCGUUAAAUGUGGUAAGGGCACCCCUAUGUUUUCUGCAUUACGCAUCCCACUGUGGUUGAGGGGUGACCAGAGGGUAGUAAAAGCUUCAAUUUGCGUUUAAACAUAGUCUUUAGAUCUUGGAGCGGAAAAAGAAGUCACAAAGUGGUGUUUUGUAUAGGAACGUUGUGGGUAGUUUUUAAAUCGUUUUUUAGUUUAUUAAAUGAAAAAUAAAUCACAUUUUAUUGUAUUUUUUACUACAUAGGUUUUUAAUUUUCCAGUGGAAAGUUAUUAGUGUACUUGAUCUAGAAAAUUUAAAUUCAAAUACACAAUAUAUCUUUGUGUUUCAAGGUUUUUUAAAGUACUUUGAAAUUAUUUUUGAACAAUGACAUUGAAAUGUACGAGAAUAGAUAAAAGUAUGUAUAUGGACCUUUUUCCAGUAGCAUGAAAGGCUUUUGGUAGCAUCAUAGUAUUUGUAUGCGCAGACGAAGGUACACGCGUGUAUCAUUGUUAUUGCUGUCUUACAGUGUAUAACGACUAUCUAUGUAACUAAUAUUAUUGUAAUGAUGAAAAGAAUCUUUAUAAAAUUUAAGUUUGUCGAGAUUUGUAUUUUAAGAUGACCAUGAAAUAUAACAAGGUUUUUUAAAAUGCGAUCAAUUUUCAUCACAGUUUAUCUGUCAGGCAAAUCAGCCCGUGUUCAACAGAAACAACUGAACCGAAAAAUCGAAUAUUCGGCAUAAUUUUAUACCCAAAAGUGACGUUUAUAUAAUAACAGUAACUAAGUUAUGCUUCUAGUGAUACAAGAAAUGCAAGUCAUUCUUAAAUAUUUUUAGUAAUACAUUUUGUUUCGAUUUCUUUCCAUCAAUC
rnacentral:lncRNA from 1 species